rnacentral:rRNA from 1 species
GACUGUUUAACAAAAACACCGCCUUUUGGUUUGAAUAAAAGGUCUGGCCUGCCCACUGUAAAUAAAGGGCCGCAGUAUUUUGACUGUGCAAAGGUAGCAUAAUCAUUAGUCUUUUAAUUGAAGGCUGGUAUGAAUGGUUGGAUGAGGUAAAAACUGUCUUUUAUAGACUAAUAAAAUUUAGCUUUUUAGUCAAAAGGCUAAAAUAGUGUUAAAGGACGAGAAGACCCUAUAGAUCUUUAUAAAACUAUUUAAGACACUAAGAUGAGAUAGAGUUUUAUAAAAAUUUUAUUUAGUUGGGGUGACAAGGAAAUAACUAAACUUUCUUAAAAGUGUCACAGAUUAGUGAAUAAAUGAUCCAUAAUUUAUGAUUAAAAGAAAAAGUUACCUUAGGGAUAACAGCAUAAUCUUUUUAGAGAGUUCUAAUCGAUAAAAAGGGUUGUGACCUCGAUGUUGGAUUAAGAUUUAAUUUAAGUGUAGCAGCUUAAAAUAAUGGUCUGUUCGACCAAUAAUAUCUUACAUGAUCUGAGUUCAAACCGGAGCUCC